UAGGUACUAGUAAAAUAAUAACAUAACUUUGUCAAAGUUAAAUUAUUGGCUUAACCCCAAUGUAUCUAA
rnacentral:tRNA from 1 species